GCCGCUGCCUCUUCCUUCCUCCUGCGCCGUCCCCUCCUCGGCCCGGGCGGGGGGCUCCGCGCGCUGAGCUCGGUCGGGCCGGGCGCUCCGGGAGGCGGGAGCCCCAGGCGGCGGCGGCGGCGGCCGCGACGGUGGUGGCGGCGGCGGCGCGGGCCGGGAAACUUUGCCCCUUUGUGCGCUCCGCCCCGGAGGCGGCGGGCAGGCAGCACUGCCUUCUCCAGCGUCCAGACCCUGGAGGAAAAAUACCAGGAGAAACUGCUCACUCAGCUCUGCCCCCACCACACCCCUACCUGCUCAACUCAUGCCUGGGUCCAGGGUGGGUGAGGGUGAAGAACCCACCGGGCCAAGAUGAUCCCUUUUCUGAGGGCUGCUGCUGGUGUCCUCCCCCAGAUCCUGGGCCCCAGCAGGUGGGAGAGUGGCCCCCUACGGAGUCCGAUCAGACUGCUGCAGAGGAGGUGAAGAGGGGUUGAGAAGAGGCAUCCAUCCACGAGACUGAAGCCACUUGCCUUCACCCUUGUAGACUCUUGACUGUUCUAGGCGAGAAGGACCUGUUGGUGGCCUUUGGA
rnacentral:lncRNA from 1 species